GACGAACGCUGGCGGCGUGCUUAACACAUGCAAGUCGAACGGGAUUUAGUAGACAGAAACCUCGGUGGAAGAUUACUAAUGAGAGUGGCGAACGGGUGAGUAACGCGUGAGCAACCUGCCUAUGACAGUGGGAUAGCCUCGGGAAACCGGGAUUAAUACCGCAUAAAAUCGUAGAAACACAUGUUUCAACGGUCAAAGAUUUAUCGGUCAUAGAUGGGCUCGCGUCUGAUUAGCCAGUUGGUGAGAUAACAGCCCACCAAGGCGACGAUCAGUAGCCGGUCUGAGAGGAUGAACGGCCACAUUGGAACUGAGACACGGUCCAAACUCCUACGGGAGGCAGCAGUGGGGAAUAUUGCACAAUGGGGGAAACCCUGAUGCAGCGACGCCGCGUGAACGAAGAAGGUAUUCGUAUCGUAAAGUUCUGUCCUAUGGGAAGAUAAUGACAGUACCAUAGAAGAAAGCUCCGGCUAAAUACGUGCCAGCAGCCGCGGUAAUACGUAUGGAGCGAGCGUUGUCCGGAAUUAUUGGGCGUAAAGGGUACGCAGGCGGUUUAAUAAGUCGAAUGUUAAAGAUCGGGGCUCAACCCCGUAAAGCAUUGGAAACUGAUAAACUUGAGUAGUGGAGAGGAAAGUGGAAUUCCUAGUGUAGUGGUGAAAUACGUAGAUAUUAGGAGGAAUACCAGUAGCGAAGGCGACUUUCUGGACACAAACUGACGCUGAGGUACGAAAGCGUGGGGAGCAAACAGG
rnacentral:rRNA from 1 species